GACGAACGCUGGCGGCGUGCCUAAUACAUGCAAGUAGGACGCAGAUGCGAACGGGUGAGUAACGCGUAGGUAACUACCUAUUAGAGGGGGAUAACUAUUGGAAACGAUAGCCAAUACCGCAUACUAGUAGAUGGCCCUGCGUUGUAUUAGCUAGUAGGUAGGGUAAAGGCCUACCUAGGCAACGUUACAUGGCCGACCGUGGUGGGGGAUCGGCCCCACCGGGACUGGGAGACGGCCCAGACUCCUACGGGAGGCAGCAGUAGGGAAUCUUCGGUAAUGGGGGGAACCCUGACCGAGCAACGCCGCGUGAGUGGAGAAGGUUUUCGGAUCGUAAAGCUCUGUUGUUAAGGAAGCGGUACUUAACCAGAAAGGGACGGCUAACUACGUGCCAGCAGCCGCGGUAAUAC
rnacentral:rRNA from 1 species